rnacentral:rRNA from 1 species
GAGUUUGAUCGUGGCUCAGGAUGAACGCUAGCGGCAGGCUUAACACAUGCAAGUCGAGGGGCAGCGGGGAGGAAGCUUGCUUUCUCCGCCGGCGACCGGCGCACGGGUGAGUAACACGUAUGCAACCUGCCCCUGUCAGGGGACAACCCGCCGAAAGGCGGGCUAAACCCGCGUACAUGCCACCGGGGCAUCCCGGAGGCAGGAAAGGCUUCGGCCGGACAGGGAUGGGCAUGCGGCGCAUUAGGCAGUAGGCGGGGUAACGGCCCACCUAACCGACGAUGCGUAGGGGUUCUGAGAGGAAGGUCCCCCACACUGGUACUGAGACACGGACCAGACUCCUACGGGAGGCAGCAGUGAGGAUAUUGGUCAAUGGUCGGGAGACUGAACCAGCCAAGCCGCGUGAGGGAGGAAGGUACAGAGUAUCGUAAACCUCUUUUGUCAGGGAACAAAGGCGGGACGUGUCCCGGAUGAGUGUACCUGAAGAAAAAGCAUCGGCUAACUCCGUGCCAGCAGCCG